GAUGAACGCUGGCGGCGUGCCUAACACAUGCAAGUCGAGCGGAAAGGCCCGCAAGGGCACUCGAGCGGCGUAAGGGACAGUAAUGUGUAGGUAACGUACCCCUGGGUCUAGGAUAGCUGCGGGAAACUGCAAUUAAUACUAGAUAACGUCUCCGGACCAAAGGUGUGAUUCCACCUGGGGAGCGGCCUACAUCCUAUUAGCUAGUUGGCGAGGUAAUGGCUCACCAAGGCGAAGAUGGGUAGCAGGUGUGAGAGCACGACCUGCGUCACUGGGACUGAGACACUGCCCAGACACCUACGGGUGGCUGCAGUCGAGAAUCUUCGGCAAUGGGCGAAAGCCUGACCGAGCGACGCCGCGUGUGGGAUGAAGGCCUUGGUUGUAACCGACUGUCGAGGGGAUGAAAUGUUAGUGGGUUCUCCCGAUUAACUUGACUGAU
rnacentral:rRNA from 1 species